GAUCCUGGCUCAGGACGAACGCUGGCGGCGUGCCUAACACAUGCAAGUCGAACGGAGUUUAAAUGAGAGCUUGCUCUGAUUUAAAUUUAGUGGCGGACGGGUGAGUAACGCGUGAGCAACCUGCCUUUUUGAGGGGGAUAACACCGGGAAACCGGUGCUAAUACCGCAUAAUAUAUUGAGGUCGCAUGGCUUUGAUAUCAAAGGAGCAAUCCGCAAAAAGAUGGGCUCGCGUCCGAUUAGCUAGUUGG
rnacentral:rRNA from 1 species